rnacentral:rRNA from 1 species
UACGAAGGGGGCUAGCGUUGCUCGGAAUCACUGGGCGUAAAGGGUGCGUAGGCGGCGCGGUAAGUCGGGUGUGAAAUCUCGGGGCUUAACUUCGAAACUGCAUUCGAUACUGCCGUGCUUGAGGACUGGAGAGGAGACUGGAAUUUACGGUGUAGCGGUGAAAUGCGUAGAUAUCGUAAGGAAGACCAGUGGCGAAGGCGGGUCUCUGGACAGUUCCUGACGCUGAGGCACGAAGGCCAGGGGAGCAAACGGG